AAGUGGGCAAUUGGGUGCCUAGGGCUCAGUUCCAGCACCCACCCUCCCUCUCCGCCCAGACUCUCCCCCUCCCCCUACUUCCCUAUUCUGUGACUUCUGGUGACCUCCCAGGAAGCAGCCUGUAUGCUAGGACCUCCCGCCCACGCUGCCCUCCAGGUCCUCAGCUCCACAAGAACUGUAGGUCUCAGAGGAGACCGGACCCCACCCCACCCCCACCCUGGUACUUGGCUUCUUUCAACCCGGGACCCACUGUCUUCCCCUUUGUCCUCCUGUGCCCACCUGGGUUCCUCUUGUCUCCCAGGCCACCUCGACUGGCCACCCUCUGCCCCACUCCUUUUGGCCCCUGCCACUGCUCUUUGACCCACCCUGCCCCCGUGCUGUGGCGGUCUUGCCUCCUGAGGGGGAAGGAGCACGUGGGCUGUCAGGGUCUGGGUGCGGGGUCCCCUCCCACCCUGGGCCUCGGCCCACGCGCAUGUCUGUCUGCCUGUUGAUUCACGGGUUUGUGCCACUGGGGGAGGGUUUGGCCGCCUCAGUAAAUUCUGGGACUUGCUGUGGGGAGGGGCAUGAGCAGGCGGAGGGGUCUUCACUCUGUCAUUCAGGGAUAAAGUUUCGUUUUAUUUUUGUACAUUUCGCCAGGCAGGGCGUUCGCUGUCGGCUCUCUCUGCCGGGGGAUUUUCUUAAGCUCUGGGUGCUUCCUAGUACUUUUUUUAACACAGGGAAGGAGGCUACUCUGACCUCACCCUCCUUCCCUCGCCACUCUUGUCCUGGGAGCCCCCAUGCUGUGUCCUGGGCUGUCCACCGCCCUGGACUUGGGGGGCCAGGGUGGUGUGAGGACUCAGUCCAGCUGCCAAGAGGGUUCCAACACCGAGGUGGCAUCUUUUGGUCCUCGUUUGUAUGCUGGGCGUGUUACGUUUUUAAAUUUUUUUUCUUGCCUAUCAAAACCAAACUCCAUUCCCAGUGCCCUUGUCUCUGGCUCUGAGGAUGCUCCACGCAGGGAGCUCUGCCGCCUGGACCAGUGGCCCAGCACCCCGCAGGGCCGGGGAAACAGAAAACACGACCUUAUUUUUGUUUACAAAAGCAAAAAAUGAAACCAAAAAACAUAACAACCUUUGAACUGUGCCUCGCUGUCUCCUCUUCAUUCUUGUUUGCUCGCAGCUCCAUGGGGCGAGCCCCUCCUCCCUCCAUGCAGAGUCCCUGGGGUGGGGUGGCAGGUGACAGUGGUGUUAUUGAAAGGGAGACUGGUGACCUGGGCCAGCCUAGGCAAGAGGAGCCAAAGAGGUUGUGAGCAGAGAGGAAGAAGGGCCUCCCACACCAGGGCUGGCUCAGAAAGUGCUCAGCCCCUCACCAGAAAGCCUGCCCCAGGCUCAGGGUCAGUGUGUGACAUGCCUCAUCUCGCUGAGCCCACUCCGAGUGGCCUGUGGCCCUUGGGCAGCUGGACUUGGCACCAGCACAUCUGCAUGCAGUGUGAGAUGCAGCCACAGGGCGACAGGGCUCCAGGCUGAGCAAGGACCUCAAGACCAGCCCUCAAAGCCGUCUCAGGUCAG
rnacentral:lncRNA from 1 species